rnacentral:tRNA from 1 species
GCCCCUGUAGCUCAAUUGGUUAGAGCAGCGGACUCUUAAUCCGAAGGUUGAAGGUUCGAUUCCUUCCGGGGGCA